GAGCAAAUCGAUUGUAUAUAUAUAUAUAUAUAAUGAGAUCCAUACAUCAUUCAUAUGUUCAUACUACUAGAUUACACACUUAGUCUAUCAUAAGUUCACAAGUUGCACAAUAGGCUAUCAAUACUUCACACUUAUCAAUAAUGACCCAAUCACCACACAUCUUCCCAAGUCUUGAGUCUUCACGGUGCCUUUCAUUUACCAUGGUCCAAGUCCGAUCCUGAAACCAUCCAUAUACAAUGAUCAAUACAUAACCGAUAUCCUAACAUCAA
rnacentral:lncRNA from 1 species